GGUCUACGGACCUUUGGGGUUGCGGACAUCAUAAUCGAACGAUAGCAGAGCUGAACAGCGUUGGAAAGCGCGGCCAAAGAGGGUGACAGCCCCGUGAGCGAAUGCGAGUCAAGUAGAGGAUGUAUCCAGAGUACCGCGGGACACGUGAAAUCCUGUGGGAAGCAGGGGGGACCACCCCCAAGCCUAAAGACGAUCAGUGACCGAUAGCGUAUAGUACCGUGAGGGAAAGGUGAAAAGAACCCCGGGAGGGGAGUGAAAGAGAACCUGAAACCCUGCGUUUACAAACUGAAGAAGCACGAUCUAAGUGCGACUUCGUACUUUUUGUAGAACGGACCGGCGAGUUGCGUUAUGCUGCAAGGUUAAGAGCUUAAGGCUCGGAGCCGAAGCGAAAGCGAGUCUGAAUAGGGCGCUAAGUUGCAUGACGCAGACCCGAAACCGGGCGACCUAUCCAUGAGCAGGUUGAAGUGAAGGUAAAACUUCAUGGAGGACCGAACCAGACGUCCGCUGAAAAGGGCGGGGAUGACU
rnacentral:rRNA from 1 species